GAAUGUGAGGGUGAUCUGGCUGUGACAUCUGUCAUCCUAUUGAUUGCCAGGGUUGAUUCCACUGAUCUGGCUGGCUAAGCAAGUGUCCCCUUCCUCUCUCCAGAAGCUCCUUCCCAGACAGAGGAGGACCAAUCUUUGGUCAAGGGUAUGGGGGUAUAUGUGCUACCCUGCUAGAACCUUCAAACAGGCUCUCAAGGUCCAUGGGGUAAUCCAGAGUUCUCAGGUCUGGCACCUCUUCCUUUAGGCCCUCCCUU
rnacentral:snRNA from 1 species